GAUGAAGAAGCAGCGAAAUGCGAUAAGUAGUGUGAAUUGCAGAAUUCAGUGAAUCAUCGAAUCUUUGAACGCACAUUGCGCCCUUUGGUAUUCCUUAGGGCAUGCCUGUUCGAGCGUCAUUUAAACCUUCAAGCUCAGCUUGGUGUUGGGUGACUGUCCGCUUCACCGCGGACUCGCCUCAAAAUUAUUGGCGGCCGGUACAUUGGCUUCGAGCGCAGCAGAAACGCGAACUCGGGCCCGUCGUAUUGGCUCCCAGAAGCUAUCUUCACAAUUUUGACCUCGGAUCAGGUAGGGAUACCCGCUGAACUUAAGCAUAUCAAUAAGCGGAGGA
rnacentral:misc_RNA from 1 species